UAAACUAAAGGGCAGAAACUAUUAUUUAUGCUCGUACUAUCAAUACAAUAGCAGUUUAGGAUUUCUUUUAGGGAAAUGUCCCUACCCGUAGGAAGGAACGAAGAAUGGAAUAAAGGAGGGAGCUCUAGCUUACUCACCUCGGUAGGAAAGGCUGUCUGAGCAAAAGCACUAGCGCUUGCCCGUAGACCCUCUAGUUCUUGGGAAGAAAAGGAAUUCAAAAACCUGAGAAACCUGAGACCAGACCGAACGUCAGAGUCUUGCUUUCUAUUCCCCGAGCCGAGGGAACUCUCAAGAGAAUAGGCACGAAGGGCGUAGUAGCAGUACAUCUUCUUGAACAACUUAAAAGUCUCUGACAAAGGGGCUUGUUGUUUGUCUGGUGCAGCCUAUCUUCAUAGAUUAGAUGGCCAGUUCCAUUGAGAAGAAUCUUUCAUUUGAACCUCAAAUCUAGAAGAGUUCGGCAAAGACUGCCAUAAAAAGGCUUCCAAUGGGCCUAGGAACAAAACAAGAGAAACAGCAGACGCGCCUUCAAGGCAACCCCGCUACCUCCGAGACAGGCAUCCCUCCUACCCCGAUUGUCUUGCUGCUAGGACCCUUCGGAGGUGACCCCGGAUAUCCCUUACUUUGAGGUAACCCCGAAACGAGGCAACCCCGUUCACUCCGACAAGAAAGGUGUCAAGUCUGAAAGCCAAGCCCGGGCAAGAAGAGGGCUCACUACAUUCCAAAAAGGAAUGGUUGGUAUGCGGUCCGUCCUUAGAAAUACCCGAGUAAUCCCCCUUUUUUUUGUGAUUGUUCCAAAGCGUGCUUCCGUUUCUUGUUCUUCGAGCUCAACCGGUCAUGCUUCUUUCUCAGUUGCGCGAUUCCUAGCUGCUAGAUCCUAGAUCGGAGGAUGUAGGUGAGUCUGAUUGUUCUGACUUCUACUGUUAUAAGUUGCCUUAAGGCGCCUUCCAGUUCCAGCCCAAUAGGGGCACUUGCCGGUGAN
rnacentral:lncRNA from 1 species